UGGGGAAUUUUGGACAAUGGGGGCAACCCUGAUCCAGCAAUGCCGCGUGAGUGAAGAAGGCCUUCGGGUUGUAAAGCUCUUUUGUCAGGGAAGAAACGGUAGUAGCGAAUAACUACUACUAAUGACGGUACCUGAAGAAUAAGCACCGGCUAACUACGUGCCAGCAGCCGCGGUAAUACGUAGGGUGCAAGCGUUAAUCGGAAUUACUGGGCGUAAAGCGUGCGCAGGCGGUUGUGUAAGUCAGAUGUGAAAUCCCCGGGCUCAACCUGGGAAUUGCAUUUGAGACUGCACGGCUAGAGUGUGUCAGAGGGGGGUAGAAUUCCACGUGUAGCAGUGAAAUGCGUAGAUAUGUGGAGGAAUACCGAUGGCGAAGGCAGCCCCCUGGGAUAACACUGACGCUCAUGCACGAAAGCGUGGGGAGCAAACAGGAUUAGAUACCCUAGUAGUCCCUGAGCGGGCUGGCAAGGCGCAU
rnacentral:rRNA from 1 species